AAAUCGGUCCUUUUCAGGACCACAAACCGCAUUCAAACAAAGAAUU
rfam:Anopheles gambiae str. PEST whole genome shotgun sequencing project, whole genome shotgun sequence.